rnacentral:rRNA from 1 species
UACGAAGGGGGCUAGCGUUGCUCGGAAUUACUGGGCGUAAAGGGCGCGUAGGCGGCACUGUUAGUCAGGCGUGAAAGUCCUGGGCUCAACCUGGGAACUGCGCUUGAUACGGCAGAGCUAGAGGAUGGAAGAGGUCGCGGAAUUCCCAGUGUAGAGGUGAAAUUCGUAGAUAUUGGGAAGAACACCGGUGGCGAAGGCGGCGACCUGGUCCAUUACUGACGCUGAGGCGCGACAGCGUGGGGAGCAAACAGGAU